CCUACCCUUGGUGGUGACGGUUCCCGCAAGGGACAAAAGGGAAUGCGGUGCGAGCGAAGAGCUCAAGGCCGCGGCUGCCCCCGCAACUGUAAGCGGAAAGUCCUCCACCACCAUGUCACUGGGCUUCGGCCUGGGAAGACGGCGGAGGGCGUCGAUCCGUGAGCCAGGAGACCUGCCGUCAGCCGUGGUCACGCG
rnacentral:ncRNA from 1 species